CACACUUUUCAUUUAGUGGAAAAUUCAGUUUUCAAAUUUGGCAGAAAGUGGUAUAGGUGGGAUUAUAUUUUAUUUGAAGUUUCCGUUUUCCAGGGAAAAAGAAUUUGCAAUCAGCAGAUCCCAGCCUGGUAUAAGAAUUUUUGAAAUGUUUUACAGGUGAUGAUGAACAGUCUACACAGAUGGCUGCAAGUUGGGAAGAUGAUAAAGUUACAGAAGCAUCUUCAAACAGUUUUGUUGCUAUUAAAAUCGAUACCAAAAGUGAAGCCUGCCUACAGUUUUCACAAAUCUAUCCGGUAGUGUGUGUUCCAUCCAGUUUCUUUAUUGGAGACAGUGGAAUUCCCUUGGAAGUAAUAGCAGGAAGUGUUUCUGCAGAUGAACUUGUUACAAGAAUUCACAAAGUCCGACAGAUGCAUUUGCUAAAAAGUGAAACAUCAGUAGCAAAUGGCAGUCAGUCAGAAAGUUCAGUGUCUACUCCAUCUGCCUCAUUUGAACCUAACAACACUUGUGAAAACUCUCAGUCAAGAAAUGCAGAGCUUUGUGAGAUACCAC
rnacentral:sRNA from 1 species